rnacentral:lncRNA from 10 species
CGCCAUUCCAUGAUCAUUGGGUUAUCGUCUGCAUUCCUGACGUAGUGUUUACAGCUUCCUGCUUAUGGCAACAAGGAAGCAGAACGCAGAGUGAUGAGAGAUUUAUGUGGAUAUGAUAGCACUGGACACUUCGAGGCUCCAUUGGCAAAACAUGCGGCAAAUAGGAAACCAAGGGACCUUUGACAUUUAAGAAGUAUAUGCCCUAAGAUUUCUACAGAUCCUGAAAUUCAUCACUACGGCAGAAUCACGCAUCUUAUGGAUGGUGCUAAGUUUUUACAGUUGUCUUAGCCCCAGUGGUUCUCAAAGUGGGGUUCCUGGCCCAGCAGCAGCAUCCCGCUAGGAACUUCUUAGAAAUGCAAAGAAAACCAAGAAUAAAAUGACACCUGACAACCUUGCCAGCUCAGCACAUCUGGAGGCACUAAAUGUCUGACCCAGGAAAUGUGCAUCAAACUGACGGUCUAGUCAUCCCAGCAAGAGUGAAGUGGCCUCUCCUGUGGUUUUGAUUUGCAUUUCUCUAAUGACUAUGUUGAACAUCUUUUCAUGUCCUUGUUAGCCAUUUGUAUAUCCUCUUUGGAGAAAUGUCUGUUAAAGUAUUCUGCUCAUUUUUUCCCUUCAGUUGUUUGUCUUUUUGUUAUUGAGUUGUCAGAGUUCUUUAUAUAAUCUGGAUAGUAGACAUUUUUUGGAUAUAUGAUUUGAAAAUAUUUUCUGUCAUUCUAUAGGUAGUCUUUUCACUCCCUUGAUGCAUGAAAGUUUUAAUUUGAUAAAGUACAAUUGAUGUACAAAAGUUUUAAUUUGAUAAAGUACAAUUAAUUUUUUAUUUCGUUGCUUCUACUUUUUGUGUCAUAUCUAAGAAACAAUUGCUGAAUACAAGGUUAUGAAUAUUUCCCCCUAAGUUUUUUUCUAAGACUUUUAUAGUUUUAGCUUUUAUAUUUAUGUCUCAUAUCCAUUUUGAGGUAAGGGCUCAACUUUAUUUUUUUGCAUAUGGAUACCCCGUUGUCUCAGCAUCAUUUGUGGAAGACACUAUUCUUUCGCCAUUGAAUGCUUUUGGAACACUGGUCAAAAGUUAAACAUGAAUUGGCCAAAGAUAAAUGGGCUGAUUUCUAGAUUCUCAAUUCUAUUCCAUUGAUCUGUAUGUCUAGCCUUAUAUCAUUAUCACACUUUUCAUUGCUAAAGGCUUUGUUGUAAGUUUUGAAAAAGCAAAGUGGGAGUUCACCAACUCUGUUCAAGAUGAUUUUGGUUUUGGAGGGUUUCUUAAAAUUCCAUAAAAAUUUUAAGACCAGCUUUUCUAUACCUGCAGAAAAGCCCAUUGAAAUUGUGAUUGUUAUUGCAUUAAAUCUAUAGAUUGAUUCAAGUAUUGUCCUCUUAAAAAUACUAAGUCUUUCAAUCUAUCAACAUAAAAUGCUUUUUCCAUCACUUUCAUUUUUGUUACAUCAAAGAAGUUUAUUUUCAAAAUAUUUCAAGAACUGAUAGUAUUAUUUCUUACACAGGACAGUGUUAGAUAUUUUGGUUUUUUAUAUUUUAUUAGCAUGUAAGUAUAUAAUAAAUACAUAAAACAUAAUAAAAUUUCUACCGAG